GGAGGACCCAUCAAAAACACCUUGUGUAAUGAAAAAAACCCAGAUAUAUAAUCUCUCCCUAUAUAUUCUGCAUGCAUUGAGGUAGCCUCAACCCCUCAGGGACCUUGGUACAGAAAAGGAACCUGUGACACACAGCAACUGCUAUCUGAAGGACAAAAAGAAGCCAAUGAUACCAAGACAAGCUCAUAACAGAGAUUUAAUCACCAGAUGUGUACGCAUGAAAAUACAGUGAGAUGAGUCAGAAAAUGGGUAAGGAGGGUCCCAGACUCUCCAAGAACCAGAAGUUCUCCGAGCACUUCAGCAUCCACUGCUGCCCGCCCUUCACCUUCCUCAACUCCAAGCGGGAGAUCGUGGAUCGGAAAUACAGCCUCUGCAAGAGCGGCUGCUUCUACCAGAAGAAAGAGGAGGACUGGAUCUGCUGCGCCUGCCAGAAGACCAGAUUGAGAAGAAGAACCAAGCCAACUCCAAGAAAGAAGUGAUAAAGGAGUUUCAAGUGAAUGGAUGGCCUCAGCGGGACUCACUGCUUUGCAACCCAUCUGCCCUUGGACCAAUUAUCUGGCUUUGAAUAUGAUGCAGGGGCAGACACCUGCUCAUAUAGCAACUGCCAUUGCCCCAAAUUCCCAUGAUAUGGGAGUUUCAGGGCAGCCUGCCUGGAGGAAGACACACAGAUUCUGCCUAAAACAGUACCAUCCUGACUCAGCAGUUGUUCACCACCAGGCAACCUGCAUUGGCCCCAUCCGAAUUGCUGACCCACAACAGCACAUUGAAGAUCUCACCCCAUUGUCUUCCUCUGUAAUUACCAAUGAGAAAUAUACUACCAGUCUACUUGUUCUUCUAUUGACUCAAGUUUCUUCAGUUUGAAGAUUUAUGCCUUUCUUCAGGGAUAUGAAAAAAAUUUAUGUUGCACAACCAUCAAAAUAGCAAAAAUAAAAAAAAAAUAUAUUAUCAAGUGUUGGCAAGGAUGUGAGGAAAAUUCUCAUAAGCUACUGAUGAGAAAUUAUAUAUUAUUACACCACCUGGGGGCUCAAUCUGGGGCUACUAACUAUUGUAAUCAAACAACUAUGAUUUUAGGACUCCAUCCUAGAGAAAACUUACACUUUUAGGAAAAUGAUAUGUAUAUAAAUCUAUUCAAUGAAUCAUUGUUUGCGAUUUAAAAAAAAAAAAGAAAGAAAUGUCCACCAA